rnacentral:misc_RNA from 1 species
CAAAAUCCUCAAAAAUGAUUCCAGGUAUAAUUUAUAUGAUUUUGUAGUUUCUUACUUAUCUAAAAGAAUUUUACUUUCUAUUGUGCAUGAUUGAUUAAUCUUCUGAAUCUUUGUCCACAUUAACGUUAAAUCAGUAAUCGUUUUUGCAUAUUAUGUGGCGUUUAAUGCCUUUUCAAUAUUAUGAGAUAGACAAAUUCUUAGCCCUUAAUUGUUUUUGUUGGACUAUAUUUUGCUGGUGGCACCGUGGAAGUGCUUUCUGAUGCUAGAAGUUUCUUUAUAAUAUUCUAGUGGUGUUGCUUUGAUAUUUUUGCCUGCUGCUUUCUCU